UAAGUCGACUUCAAUGACUGUCACUUUAUCACCUUCCAAGAGUGGCUUGCGCAGAGAGAUUGAGACACGCAAGGCUGAGUGGCAAACCAAGAUGGAAAAAGCCAUGAUGCGAGAAAGAAACAUUGCAUGAAUUACAUCUCAAAGAGGAGGAGAGGAGCGAGAAAAUGAAGCGGUGUGAGGAAAGAGAGGCUGGAGGGCUUUGAAAGCCACACCACAUCUUACACAUCAGAAAAACAGCAGGAACCGGAUCAAAAAAUAACAUCCCUCCGGUAUAAUAAAGCUCUCAUAAAAAUCAUCACUGAGUAACCCAUCAUCCAAAACCUAUGGUGUAUAUUAUUAUGGGUAUCUCUAAUCUCAUCCCAACAGGAAGUGUUCAGUCAGAGGGAGAUCAUCAGUGCCCUAAGUCGUGACCUGGCCCAGACUCAUCCUCGGAAAUGUUUUUGUUAGACAAACUGAAGAGGACCUGAAAAGUAUAGCAAACCGAGAGAUGGAGAACACAAGUCUUUUUCCACUUUAAACCUCAAGAAACACUAGAUGUGGCACUCAUGACUGCUCCAAAUGAUGUCAUCAAUCAGGGGUCAUCGCCACGAGCAGGAAGGUUUGACAUGAGAGAGCGAAUCAGAGCUCUAGAACAGAAGUGGCCUAGCAAGAGCAUCUGUCCCAGCAGGGGGAGCCAGAGAAACAGGGUCAGAUGAAGACUCAGAGACUUCAGAGAUCUGCAGCUCAGAGAGGGUCCAUCAGUUCUGUGCUCUGACCAAGGCAGCACGAGAACGUACAGCCAGACUGGACACGUCUGAUGCUCUGGAGCUCAGUGAGAGAACGUACCUGGAGCUAGUGUGCGUGCUGCAUGAGGCCCUGGAGCUCAGUGACGUUGAGCUGUCAGGAUGUGCUAGUUUAAAGCACCUACCUCCUGAUGAGAGACAGCACAUAGUCUCUAUGAGACAAACAGACCUGGAGUUUGUGAGAACCCGCCUUGAUCUAGAGAACAGACACAAAGCCAACAGCAAGAGCUACUGCUGGAGGAAAACCAGAGAGAGAUACACACACUCAGAGAGAGCCAGGUGCUGGAUUACCAGAUGCAGACCGAGCUUGAGAGUGUGAAGGCAGAACUAGAGACUCAGAGACAAGAGAUGGAACAGCUUCGGCUGGAUCUACAGGACAGCAUCAACCAGCUGCAGAGAAACCAGCAGGAACGCAGUAUUACCAACAGAAAUAAUAGGAGAACCACCUUCAAGUGGUUCAUAGCUCACCCAGUGAGAUCUAUAAUAAAUACUCUAAAUACUCUAAAGAACCUUAGUAUGGAGAGAACAGACAGAAAGAAUGGAAGAGUGGGCCAUUACAGCUAUAUACCAAAUGAAAGCUAUAAAAAGGCACCAGCAGUGAAGAAACGGACCUCACAGAUGAGACUGAAAAGGAAAGAGAGUGAGCUAGAUAAUCAGAAGAAAGAAAUGGGGCAGAAAACGCAGAUCUGUUCAAUGGUCUCUGAUUUGUCCAAUCCUUUGCAAGCUCCUGAGAGCUCCCAACUACCCCUGCUCACUGAGGCCCACUGACAUGAACACAACUUAAGAGCAUGCAGUAUUAUACAACUGUGCUUUUUAAUAAUA